rnacentral:rRNA from 1 species
AUGGAGAAGACGCAGUGCGGUUCCAAGGGCAUUGCUCACCGGGCCUCGGCGGCCAGCGGCUCCGGCAAGCACAAGCGGAAGGGCGGCGGCGCCGGGGACAAGCCGAUCAAGGUGGUGUACAUCUCCAACCCGGUGCGGGUGUCGACCAGCGCGGCCGGCUUCCGCGCGCUCGUGCAGGAGCUCACCGGCCGCAACGCCGACCCGUCCAAGUACACCGGCAGCGGCGCCGUGGACGUCGGCGAGAGCAGCGCGGGGAGCCCGGCCGGCCCGCAGAUGGGCCCCGCGCCCAGCCCCGGCAGCACGGCGGAGUCAUCGGAAGGCGCCGCCGCCUGCAGCCACAACGUCCCGGCCACAACAGCGCCGGCGGGCUACGGGUACGAGGAGGAGGAGGACAGCUUCCCGCCGCAGCUGAUCGACAACAGGUACUCCGUCUUCUCGCCGCCGACGUUCCUCUACGGCUCGCACAACGAGUGGUGA